CUACAAUAAAAAUCAGGAAGAAUACUUAUAGCCUAUGUUACUGGACUAUUUUCUACGUAAGAAUUAGAUAAACUCUAAAAUCUCACUAAGUUCACUAUCACUAACACUGAUGCAGGAUUUUUCUUCUUGGUCAUUUUGCAAGCCGGGGACCCCCGGCCAGUGACACUCCACCCGGGCCUCGCUCGGCCACGCUGGCAUGCCCCAGCUCACCUAUGUUAUAGCUUGUACCUGCAUUCGGUGGUUCCCGAGCUCUGGUACUGCACCCAAGAAGAAUAAGGAUACGCUGGGCAUUGAAGUGGAACCAAGGGCGGGUAAUAUCAGAAGAAAAUCGUGCGAUGAAAAUGAAGAUCAGAAGCGCAUACUGAACAAGCAACUGACUUUGUUAAUCUCU
rnacentral:lncRNA from 10 species